rnacentral:ribozyme from 1 species
GCUCACCAGAACCUGCUAAUGUGCCGGAGAGUGAGCUGGUAAUGAAAUGUGUUGCAGAUAGUAUUCAAACAGCUGAUUCGAAGGUUAUCAUGUCUGUGUUUGAUUUUGGUGGACAGUCUGUUUUCAAUGUCAUUCAUCCACUUUUUCUCACUAAGUAUGGAGUUUAU